UGUGCUCCGUUCUAGAUGAGGUUGCUGGGAAGGCUUCUCCAUCAGCUUGGAUGAAGAAAGUUUUGAAGCCCUUGGAGCCUCCUGCAGAUAUGUCUCCAGGGAGGACUUCUCCAGCUCCUACCUUGGAUGCUGCACCCAAGCCCAGCUCCCAUGGCAGGGGUCCUCCACCAGAAGAGACCAAAGGCAUGGCAGACAAGAAAUUCCAGAACCCAUUUGAAAUCAUGUGGCAAAUGCUGAAGGAAAUGCUGCAGAGAAGACAAGAAGUGGAUUUUGAGCCUGUGCAGAAGGAAGCAUUUGCCGGAGGAAGCAGUGGUUCUGUGCCAGCCUCUGCUGCAGGAAGAGAGGCCAUGCCAGGCACAGGCACAGGAG